AGCCCUCAUCUGUCUUAUACGAAUGCAGCUUCAGGAGAGAUUUGCCAGGGGAAAUUUGGCAGCUUGUAGCAGAGAAUCUGGCCCAACAUCUAUUCUUUUUUCCAGCAUGAAACAAGCUGUUACUGUUAUUCCACCUUUCACCCCAGGAAAGACGUGUAGCUACCUUAUAGUUUGACACGUUCUGCAGCGGAUCUAUGGCACAGUGUUGAAGAAACACGCACUUCAUUGCCUCUCGUGACAGCCGCAGCCCGAUCCCUACAGCAGAGAAGACUCCACAGGAUACAAUGAUCUGUAUAAGCUCCUUGUUGAUGUUAUCAAAGACAUUAUCCCACCAAAGAACAUCAAGGUGAGACAUCUCGUUGUCAAAGCCAGCCUGGAGGAUACAACCGAUCCUUCAUGCAGUGUAACUUAAUCCAGAAUUGACUUUCUGGUGCCCACCUUAUUUUUUUAAAACACUGUAAAUAAGUUUUGGGGUUUUCAGAUCUGCUUUUCCCAUGCAUU